rnacentral:rRNA from 1 species
UCCUGGCUCAGGAUUAACGCUGGCGGCAUGCCUAAUACAUGCAAGUCGAAUGGGGAGCUUGCUUCCCAUGGCGAACGGGUGAGUAAUACGUAGGUAACCUACCUUUAGGACGAGGAUAACCUUUGGAAACGAAGGAUAAUACUGGAUAGUAUAGAUUUCCGCAUGGAGAUAUAUUUAAAGAUUUAUCACCUAGAGAGGGGCCUGCGGUGCAUUAGCUAGUUGGCGGGAUAAAAGCCCACCAAGGCGAUGAUGCAUAGCCGGACUGAGAGGUUGUACGGCCACAAUGGAACUGAGAACGGUCCAUACUCCUACGGGAGGCAGCAGUAGGGAAUUUUCGGCAAUGGGCGGAAGCCUGACCGAGCAAUGCCGCGUGAGUGAAGAAGGCCUUAGGGUCGUAAAGCUCUUUCGCCUGUGAAGAUAAUGACGGUAGCAGGUAAAGAAACCCCGGCUAACUCCGUGCCAGCCGCCGC